AGUUGAUGCUUUUUUCUUGGUAGGAUACAAGAAUGGUAUGAAACAGAACUGGAUGAAGAACCUCUACCAUUGUUAAAGGGACGAUUUCACUGAAAAAGGUACCUUCAGGGUUUAGUGUUCGAUUUAAGAGAAAAGUUGCUUAUAAGAACGAAUGGAGGACUAAGGUUGAGCUGGAAUAAAUAAAAAGUAGCAGUGGCCU